UUGCUUCCAGUGUUUUUUAAGCCAGCUCGGGUGCUGGCUUUUUUUUUUGCCUGCCUACAGCCACCAU
rnacentral:misc_RNA from 1 species